rnacentral:rRNA from 1 species
GACGAACGCUGGCGGCGUGCUUAACACAUGCAAGUCGAACGCUGAAGCCCAGCUUUUGUUGGGUGGAUGAGUGGCGAACGGGUGAGUAACACGUGAGUAACCUGCCUCCUUCUUUGGGAUAACGUCCGGAAACGGGUGCUAAUACCGGAUAUUCACUGGUCUUCGCAUGUGGGUUGGUGAAAAUGGUUUCUCUGGUGGGGGAAGUGCUCGCGGACUAUCAGCUUGUUGGUGGGGUGAUGGCCUAACAAGGCUUUGACGGGUGGCCGGGCGGAGAGGGUGACCGGUAAGAUUGGGACUGAGAUACGGACCAGACUCCGACGGGGGGCAGCAGUGGGGAAUAUUGCACAAUGUGCGGAAGCCUGAUGCAGCGACGCCGCGUGAGGGAUGGAGGCCUGCGGGUUGUGAACCUCGUUCGCUCAUGGUCAAGCCGCAAAAAUGGUUGUGGUGAGGGUAGUGGGUAAAGAAGCGCCGGCUAACUACGUG